ensembl:lncRNA
CUUUUUCUGGGUGUGUCUGUGAGGGUGUUUCAGGAAAAGAUGAGCAUUUGAAUUAGAAGACUGAGUGGAGAAGAUAGCCCUCACCAGUGCAGGUGGGCAUCACCCAAUCGGUUGAGGGCCUAAAUUGAACGAACGCAUGGAGGAAGGAUGAAUCUGCUCUCUGCUUCAGCUGGGACAUCCAUCUUCUCCUGCCCUCAGACACCACUGCUCCUAUUCUGGGACCUUCUGACUCAGACCAGGGCUGCCACCGUUGGGCCCCCUGGUUCUCAGACAUUUAGACUGGGACUGGAGCUGCAUCACUGGCUUCCUGGGCCUCCAGCUUGCAGAUGGCAGAUCAUGGGACUUCUCAGCCUCCAUAAUCACGCAGGGGAAAGAGCAUGGACAUCAUAGUGAAAAAGAUCUGGUUUCGAAUCACGACUCCUACCUUGUCAAAUUUCCAAGACUCCUCCUCCAUCUGCAGAAUGGGGACAGUUGUGGUACCUACAGCAUCAGAUUGUGCAUCCUUGAAAUCAAGACACAUCUUAAAGUGGCUGUCAGAAAGACAUAAGCUGCAACAGGUUAUUGCUGUGCAUGCAGCAUCAAGACUUGCGGAAUGGGUGUUAACAGCUUGCAAAAAUCCUGGAGGCAGCAGUGUAGUAAGCACAGAAGACAAUAUUGUGUGGAAGAACUCAGAUUUUCACGAUGCUUGUGGAGAAGCAACACAGAGUCGUCAGAUUCUAAAUAGGAAGACUUUUGAGGAGCCCGGUAACCAGUCAAUUUUGCAUAUGAUUUCCUUUUUACAUAUGCACAAGCUUGCUAUACGAUAAAAAUUUUGGGCCUAAAUAAGUCUAAAAUAUUCCUUUCUUUAUGUAUAAAAUAAAUUUUGAAGUGGUAAGAAAGCCCUGCGUCAUGGUUUAAUAGGCAAAAUUUUCUUCCCUAAUGGCACAUAAAAUAAUGGUGUAGCUUAUAAUAGAUGCAUCUUAAAUUUGAUGAGAUAUGGCAUUUUCCAAAAAAAAACUCUGGCUCUUGAGCUUCCAACCAAAAAAUCAGAAAGUCUGAUGAUACAAGCCUUUUAUUUCUGCAAGGCAGCCAUUAGCUAGAGAGCUGAGAGGCAAUUGUCCCUUUUGAAUGGAGUAUAUGGUAUUUCAGUUUGCCGCAGUCCCCACCACUCCCUACUGCAUUACACUAGACCCUCUUCAAUCUUUCUGUUUACUCUCUGGCCUCUGUGGGCAUUUGAGUCUGUCACCCUUGAAAAGAUGGGUUCAGUGUUGCCUGGUUGGGAAACUAUGAUCCACAUAUGGCCCCAGCAGCAAAGAUUUAGCCUCUGGUUACUUCUUUUCCUGGACUUGGCAGGAGGGGAGAGAAGGGCAGCUACAGAGCAACAGCACUCAAGAGUGCCCCCUGGAAGUCAUGCUGUCUUGGCAGUAUACCUAGCCUGUUUCAUUGUUAGCUCACUGACUGGCCUCCCAGCCAAAUAACCAGACAGCUACCUCCAGCCACUAAAUGCCUGUAACACUUGUCUUAUGAGUGUCACAGAGAAGUCCAGGCACGGCUAAAACUGAGCAGAAAAUGCAGCCCAGGCUCAGUUGAAAUUCCUGCUCCCCGCGCAUCUAUUCACCCAUUUGCCAAUUUCUGCUGAGUGCUGCUAAUGUCAGGCUGCAGGCAAGGCGAUGGGGUGUGAAAAUGAAAUGCAUUGUCUAUAGAGGAGAAGCAGGCACAGAAAAUGAUAUGGCAUGGAGUAAGUGUCCCAAGACAAGGAGAGAGGUGACAGGAGAAAGUCCGUCACAUGACCAUACCUAGCUGCAAGGGAGCCUGGGAGAUGUGUCUAAGCUGUGUGUCCAGGAGGAACAGGACGCAGGACUUUGUCACUGCCUCAGAAGGUUAGGAUGCGUUUGGAGUAGAACCAGAGUCUGGCGAGGUUUCCUGAGGUUGUAAGAGGCAAGGACAGUAUCUUCUGUACUAGGAUUAUAGACUGGACUUUGGACACGGCGUUGCCAUGACUGCUCCAAGCAUCCGAGGAAACUGGCUGAGACUGGAGGUACCGAGGAGGGUGGAGGCUGCAGGCUGAAGACAUCAUCUGAACCCUGGAAGUGCCCCCAACAGGAGCCAAGAAAUUCCCUUUCCUGCCUCUGCCAGUUGCAGUUGGGGUCUGUCCUUUGAAACGCAGAGUCCUGACAAGUGCAGAGGGAUCAGGUGCACGAAGUUGUGACAGAUGUCAGACCCGAGCAGGACGCAUCAAGGGAUGCGGGAGCGCCAAGAAGGAGGAAGUAGAGAGCAGCCCAGGAUGGGAGCCCUGGAAGCGCUUCACGGCGGAGGCAGCAUCUGAGGUGGACCUUGAAGGCAGCGGGAUAGUGCCAUGUGCCGUAGCAGAGUGAUGCUUGGCAUCCUUUAAGCAUCAGGAUCCCCCCCAGCCUCCAGCCCGGGGACUGCAGUUUCCGUCGAGUCACCGAGUGUGACGUGUGGAGGGAGCAAGGGCCUGGCUUCCAGCGGCAGCCUCCACCACUGGUUAGUCCUGAGACCUUGGACACGUCACAUUCCCUCCCCCAACCUGUUUUCUCAUCUAUAAAAUAGAAAUAUUGGUGCUACCUCACACAGCUGGCGAGUGUUACAUGAGACACCUGUUAAAUGGCCAGCACAUAGCUCAUCCUGGUGGCACCAGGGAGAGUAAUGCUCUACAGAAAGAAAGAUGCUGAAGCAUUCACCAUUUUCAAGAACACAGAAGACUAUUUCUCUCCCCAGAAAGUCCUGAAGUGACAGAGCAGCUCUGCUCUGCAAUGUAAUCCAGGGACCGGGGUGCUGGCCCUCUGGGGCGGUUGCCUGCAUGCCUACAGGUGAGACCUCACCUCCUCUGGGUAGCAGCCAAAUGGCAGGGGAGGAGAGUGUGGAGCAGGCAUCCCAAACGUCUUCAGACCUCAAAAUGGAAGCAACAAGGUGGGCGGGGCACAGAGACUUUCUGGGCAGCCACAUCCCGGUUCCGACUCCAUUGCUCUGGAAGAAGAGAAUAAAUUUUGGUGGAUGCUAACACAGACCCUCCACAUAGGGUUUCAAUAAAUAGUUGCCGUCA